AUGGCUACAUCCAGAGAUUACUAUGAGGGAGAACAAGUACCAGAUCCUCGUCCAAGUCGUACCCGGCGGGUACCCACCUACUUGGAGGAUUAUGUGCUUGAUUAUCCACCUCUGAGGCAUGCUCAUCCAUCACCAGCAGAUGGCACUCAAGGAAUACCUAAUGUAAGCCAGGACCCUUAUAAGGGCUAUAUUACUCCUCCUCCCUGGGACAGAGACUUUGAAGGUGAAAACCUGCACCACUUGGAGGCACGGUGGAGAGAUUUAAGCAGUGAGAUGAGAGAGCUUCAGAUCAGAAUGGACAGUGCUAGACAAACAUCCUUCACAUCUAGAUCUCCUGUUUAUGCACACUAUAAGAGCAUUCCUCACACUGAACUCAGUAACACGGGAUUACAACCUACUGUGACUGUAGCAUCAUCCCCACACUAUGAGGAAACACUCUAUCAUGAGCCCCUUAUGCAGCAGCGCUCACAAUCAAGCAUGCAGCCAAGUAAUAUAGCUCGUGUAGCUUCUCUGCCAGGGCCAAACCCUCAAAGACUGCUUUCUGAACUCCGACGGUCAGACUCAUGGCCCCCUACAGCUGCUCAGCCUGCCCAUCCACAGGUACAGCAUCAGCCAAGCCUGGUACAGCCUGCGCCAGUCCGCAUGCAGACACCUUAUCAGUCAGCUGUUGUACCGCCUGCGCAUUCUCAUGUGCAGCCCCAACGUCAGAUGGUUGCAGCACAAUCUGUUCCAGCCUCACUGCCGCCACAGUACCAGCAGACAGGGCCAGCUCCAGUUCAGCCUGUGCCAGUUCAACCAACAAUGCAUCCGCAUCACCCUUUUCAACCACCACCUCCUCCUUCUCGGCCUGGACCACAGUCACAACAUUAUUAUCCUACAAACACUGUGACGCCUGGACUGAUGGAGAUGGUCAUUGCUUCCUCCUAUGGCAUACCCAAACCAAGGCUGGCAGUAUUCUCCUCAGGCAAAGAGAGUGAUUUCCUGAUGCUUAAGAAAGGGUUGGAUAGCGUCCUUGGCCCACACAGACAUUUAACAGAGGACUAUAAGUAUCAAGUGCUUUUGGAUCAUCUACAUCUGCCUGCUGCUUACCAGGUAGCUAAGAGGUAUGUCAACAGCCCAUAUCCUUACACCAGUGCCAUGCAGGCCCUUGAACAGAGAUACGGUCAACCAAGACAGUUAAUUCAGAGCGAGCUUAGAGCAAUCCUUAAUGCUCCAGCUAUUCGACCAGGUGAUGCACAGGGAUUUGAGGACUUUGCAGCAGCUGUUAACACACUGGUGGGCAUGUUGAACACGAUGGAAGGGCCAUCUAGAUACGAACUGCAGUGUGGUUCCCACGUUGACACUUUACUGACCAAACUGCCUGUCAGUUACAGAGACUCCUUCAUAGAAUACUGUCUCAACCAGCACAUCAUCGUGAGUGGCAGUUCUAGAACUUAUACAUUGCCAGAAUUUGCUGAGUGGCUGGAAAGGAAGUCCCAGGCCAUUCAGAUAUCUCGACGGGUAACAUGGCCAAUGCAACCAGAACCCUUUCGGCGAGAACAGAAAUUCCUUCCUCACUCUAAAGCCAAGUCAGCCACAAUUCUCACAGGCAGUGAACAACCUCAAGCCAUCAAUUUGCCCUCUAGCUCAUCCACAGGCUCUAAAAUGGCAGCUACAGCUAGAAAGCAGGAUCGCUUUAAGCCCUUUUGUCCCUUCUGCAACAACCAUGAACAUUACCUCAAUGCUUGUGCAGCUUUUUGCAGGUUGAACCACACUCAAAGAGGGAGCUGGGUAAAGGACCACAAUAAAUGCUGGCGGUGUGGACGAGGUCACAAACCAGACAGCUGUACUCUUAAGAGAGCGUGUUCUACAUGUGGGGGACUCCACCUGCCCGUUCUACAUGAAGUUGCAGUUGCUGUGGAGAAUCAGAGCAUACUAACGGUGAGCACAACCAAUUCUCAAGUUUACUUGGAUCAAACCAGUCACUCAGGCAGAGUCAUGCUGAAAGUAGUCCCAGUGAGACUUCGCAGCGGCAAAAGGUUUCUGGACACUCAUGCAGUGUUGGACGACGGGUCUGAAAAAACAAUCAUACUACCUGCAGCAGCUAAACAUCUGCAUUUAGAAGGACCUGAGGAAGUGCUGGCUCUUCGAACAAUAAGACACGACCUUGUUCACCUGAGAGGUACCACCGUUUCCUUUGAGGUAUCAGCUCUGUCACACCUUAAUGUGAAACACCAGAUUCAGAAUGCUUUCACAGCUGCAGAUCUUAAUCUUGCUGAGCAGUCUUAUCCAGUAGACACGCUGAAGAGGAGAUAUGGACACCUCAGGGACAUUCCUUUACAAAGCUUCACCAAAGUACAGCCUCUGCUGCUCAUAGGAUCAGAUUAUCCGCAGCUGAUCACACCAAACUGCCCAAUUCGUAUGGGUCCGCUUGGUAGCCCUAUAGCAGUACACACGCUGCUUGGCUGGACAGUUCAAGGACCAACAACCUUUUUCCAGCAACCCUCAAACAUAAGCUCAUGCCUUCACACCACAUUCCUUUCACCUACACAAGAGUUACGUCAACAUGUUGAGCGAUUGUGGCAGCUUGACAUACUGCCAUCAAGAAACGAAAAAGAAGUAGUCCGUUCCAAACAAGAUAAAGCUGCACUUGCCAUGUUGGAACAGAAAACGGUACAAGUUACAGUUGAUGGUGUGAAUCGCUACGCUACUCCACUGCUGCGAAAAGUGGAUGCACCCAAAUUUCAGGCAUCACCAAAUGCUGUCAUGGCUCUUUUAAGAGCCACAGAACGCCGCUUGAUUAAGGACCCUAACCUGGCAAAUGUGUAUAACAAGGAGAUACACAAACUUGAAGAGGCUGGCUAUGCAGUCCGGAUAACCAGUGCAGAAGCAGCCAAUUCCACUGAGUCAUGGUUUGUUCCUCACCACAUUGUGCACCACAAUGGCAAAGUCCGUGUGGUGUUUAAUUGCUCUUUCAGCCAUCUGCAGACAAACCUAAAUGACAAUCUACUGCCUGGACCCGCCCUUGGUCCACCACUGCUGGGAGUCCUGCUUAGAUUCAGACAGUAUGCUGUCGCCAUAAGUGGAGACAUACGAGCCAUGUUUCACCAGAUCAGACUGCUACCUGAAGAUCAGCCACUGCUCCGCUUUCUUUGGAGGGACAUGGAAAGGGAGCGCACCCCUGACAUCUAUGAAUGGAGAGUAUUACCAUUUGGGACCACAUGUAGUCCAUGCUGCGCCACAUAUGCUCUCCAGAGGCAUGUCAGAGACAACACUGAGGGCAAUGAAGAGGUAGUUGAGUCUAUCCACCAGUCUUUCUAUGUGGACAACUGCUUACAGUCACUUCAGUGUCAGCAUCAGGCUAAGAAACUCAUUGACAAAAUGAGAACAUUGUUGACUACUGGUGGUUUUGACAUAAGGCAGUGGGCAAGCAAUGUUCCUGAUGUGAUUGCUCACCUACCCUCCGAAGCGAAAUCAGAGGGCUGUGAACUGUGGUUGUCAGCAAAUAAAACUGAUCCGCAAGAGUCAGCGCUUGGAUUGAUGUGGCACUGUUCACAAGACACUUUCAGUUACAAACACAGACCUGUCUCUACAAAUGGUGAAACCUCAAUGAGAACUGUUUAUCGCAUCCUAGCAAGCCAGUAUGAUCCACUCGGAUACAUCAUCCCCUUUACUACAAGGGCCAAAAUUCUGGUUCAAACACUAUGGAAGAGGGUUGGAAGCUGGGAUGAACCUUUACCAGCUGACCUCCUUUCAGAAUGGCAAGCAUGGGAAGAAGAGCUUCCAAACCUACAGAGAAUAACAAUACCUAGGUGUUACACACCAGCAUGCAACAACAACUCCUCUACUCUCGAUAUACAUGUUUUCUGUGAUGCUUCAGAGAAAGCAUAUGGUUCUGUGGCAUAUUUACGGGUAGAAACGGAUGACUACAUCCAAGUUGCGUUCAUCAUGGCGAGGUCACGCGUGGCACCUAAGAAGCAACUCUCUGUGCCACGCCUUGAACUCUGUGCAGCAUUGUCUGGGGCUCAGCUUGCCAAAACACUGGACUCCGAACUUACUCUCAACAUCAGACAGACAGUAAUGUGGUCAGACUCAACCACCGUGUUACACUGGAUAAAGUCUGAGUCAUGCAACUACAAAGUGUUUGUAGGCACACGAAUUGCAGAGAUUCAAGACCUCGUUGGAUGUGAAAACUGGAACUAUGUGGAUUCAGACAACAACCCUGCUGACGAUAUAACCCGGGGUAAGACCCUCACAGAUCUGUCCCACACCUGCAGAUGGAACCAAGGUCCAGAAUUUUUGCAUCAGUCUCCAGACCACUGGCCAAUCCACCCCUCAGUGCCAGUUGAAGACUCAGACGAACUCCGCAAAUCCACAUUUUGCGGUAAUGUCUCAAUCAGUCAUACCUCUUUACCUAAUGUAGAUGACUGCAAAUCAUGGGACGACCUUAUCAUGACCACAUAUAAGUCUCUGCAUGGUGCUGCAGCACCCCCUAUGUCUGCCACAGAACGCAUAGAGACUGAAAUGGCUGUACUCAAACAUGCACAGACUGAAAGUUUUCCUGAUGAAGUGCAUGCCCUUCAAGCCAACAAACCUGUGCAUUCAAACAGUCGAUUAAGUUCCCUUGCUCCAACAUUAGACCCUGAUCUGGGCCUGAUUAGAGUUGGUGGUAGAUUACGCAAAGCUGCAACACUACCAGAGGAUGCACUUCACCCUAUUGUGCUGGCACCAGAACACUCCAUAACCAAACUGUUAAUCCAA
ensembl:lncRNA